GGCGCUAUAGCCAAGUGGUUACGGCGACAGAUUCGAAUUUUCUGCUAUCUGUUCCUCUUUGAGGGCGCAAGUUCAAAUCUUGCUGGCGUCG